AUGGCCAUCCAGCAUCUCCUCCUCGUCGUCUUCAUGGCUUCCAUCCUCCAAGCGGCCACCUGUGACACAGCGUACGACCUUUUGGUGAAAAACAACUUCCCGCAGGCUCUUCUGCCUCUGGGCGUGAAGUCAUACGUGAACCAUGGGGGCGCUGUUGAGGUGACCCUCCCCACCUCGUGCGACUUCAACGUCAUAGUUGCUGGCGGACAACACACCUCCAGUUUGACAGCAUAG
rnacentral:rRNA from 1 species